rnacentral:rRNA from 1 species
UUUGACAUGUAUGGAACCCUCCAGAGAUGGAGGGGUGCCCGAAAGGGAGCCAUAACACAGGUGCUGCAUGGCUGUCGUCAGCUCGUGUCGUGAGAUGUUGGGUUAAGUCCCGCAACGAGCGCAACCCUUGUCAUUAGUUGCUACGAAAGGGCACUCUAAUGAGACUGCCGGUGACAAACCGGAGGAAGGUGGGGAUGACGUCAAGUCCUCAUGGCCCUUAUGGGUAG